rnacentral:rRNA from 1 species
ACGGAAUAGAUACCCCGGUAGUCCAUGCCGUAAACUAUGGAUACUAGCUGUUGGGGGUAGUCGACCCCUCCACGUAGCGAAAGACUAAACGACGUUAAGUAAUCCCGCCUGUGGAGUACGAUCGCAAGAUUAAAACAAUAAAGGAAUUGACGGGGACCCGGCACAAGCGGUGGAGCGUGUUCUUUAAUUCGAUGCUAAACGAAGAACCUUACCAGGGCUUGACAUCCCUUGAAUUACUCCGAAAGGAGUGAGUGCUUUAUUGAGCAAGGCGACAGGUGAUGCAUGGCCGUCGUCAGCUCGUGUCGUGAGAUGUUUGGUUAAGUCCAUCAACGAGCGCAACCC